GAUGAACGCUGGCGGUGUGCCUAAUACAUGCAAGUCGAGCGAACAGACGAGGAGCUUACUCCUCUGACGUUAGCGGCGGACGGGUGAGUAACACGUGGAUAACCUACCUAUAAGACUGGGAUAACUUCGGGAAACCGGAGCUAAUACCGGAUAACAUGUUGAACCGCAUGGUUCAACAGUGAAAGACGGUCUUGCUGUCACUUAUAGAUGGAUCCGCGUCGCAUUAGCUAGUUGGUAAGGUAACGGCUUACCAAGGCAACGAUGCGUAGCCGACCUGAGAGGGUGAUCCGCCACACUGGAACUGAGACACGGUCCAGACUCCUACGGGAGGCAGCAGUAGGGAAUCUUCCGCAAUGGGCGAAAGCCUGACGGAGCAACGCCGCGUGAGUGAAGAAGGUCUUCGGAUCGUAAAACUCUGUUAUUAGGGAAGAACAAAUGUGUAAGUAACUAUGCACGUCUUGACGGUACCUAAUCAGAAAGCCACGGCUAACUACGUG
rnacentral:rRNA from 1 species